AUUGAACUCAAACGUGAGGGGCAGAAAAAUAUACUCCACCUUUUGAUGGAUGGAGCUGAAGAGUCACACUGCAAAACAGGUGGAUACAGGGAGGAAUGGAGAACUGGGGUCAUGAAUGCAGUUAAUUUACCACCCUGAUAGUCUCCCAUUAUUACUCUUAAAAAGUUUUUACUGGCUCUUCCUUCAAACUGUUCUAUAUUGGAAUCAUACUGUCAAGAUAAAAAACUCCCAUGGGGAUUUGCAUAGAGAGAAACUGUAAGUCAGCUGAUGAGUGAACGGUAGCUGUCAUCACCCACAUUUUACAGACAGGAAAUUGGAGGUGCAGAUAGAUUCAAUAACUGUUGAUUAGACAGCAAAUAAGUAGUUGAACCUGAAUUCGAACUCAAGUUUCCUGCUUCUGCCACUGCUCCACAUUUGCUUCCUCUGACGAUAGCUGUGAGGAUCAAGCGUGAGAAUGUCCACAAAAGCGUUUUGAACACUGUAAAGUGGGAAGGAGAGGUUGCAUUCUGGAAGCACCAGCCCCUGGGACUGCCUGGUGAUCAAGCAAAUAGGACUUCCUGCAGCAACACAUGGAAACUUAACAAUGUCCAUUAAGAGCAUGUGAAGAGAAAAACUGCAUAAGAAGAGGGCUGAAUAUCUAGAGAGAGGAGACUGUAGGAAGCAAUCUACUCACAGCAUGAAUUCAAAGAUGGAUGUAUUUGAAGUACAACAUUACUCUGGUUCUAAAUGAAAAGGGGCGGGAAUGACAAGAACAAACAAGAUGUCACCAUUGAAUAUUGUGAUGUGACUGUAGCAGUCUUAUAUCUGAAACUCAAGAAGAAAACAACUGCAUUCCAAAACAGC